UGAGGAAUAUUGGUCAAUGGGUGCAAGCCUGAACCAGCCGUCCCGCGUGAAGGACGACUGCCCUAUGGGUUGUAAACUUCUUUUGUAUAGGGAUAAACCUACCCUCGUGAGGGUAGCUGAAGGUACUAUACGAAUAAGCACCGGCUAACUCCGUGCCAGCAGCCGCGGUAAUACGGAGGGUGCAAGCGUUAUCCGGAUUUAUUGGGUUUAAAGGGUCCGUAGGCGGACUUAUAAGUCAGUGGUGAAAGCCUGUCGCUUAACGAUAGAACUGCCAUUGAUACUGUAAGUCUUGAGUAUAUUUGAGGUAGCUGGAAUAAGUAGUGUAGCGGUGAAAUGCAUAGAUAUUACUUAGAACACCAAUUGCGAAGGCAGGUUACCAAGAUAUAACUGACGCUGAGGGACGAAAGCGUGGGGAGCGAACA
rnacentral:rRNA from 1 species